GCCCAGGUGGUGGAAUUGGCAGACACGCUGUCUUGAGGGGGCAGUGCUCGUAAGGGCGUGUGAGUUCGAGUCUCACUCUGGGCACCA
rnacentral:tRNA from 1 species